rnacentral:lncRNA from 1 species
AACAGCCGGUUUCCGAAACGUUAUUCAAAUCUUCGAUCAUCUAAUCGAGCUGUUAGAUUUGAUCAACUGUUAACCAGUGACGAGUUUCUCAAACGUCGAUCAUCUUAAAAUUAUAUGAUCGUAGAAAAUCGAUUAUCUGACAUACGAUUUGGUAUCGAUACUGUCACAAUCGGCUGUCAUCCUUCAAAAUUUCAUUUUAUAACCAAAAAAUUUCAAUCCAUAGUAAAUAACUACAUAAUUUAUAUAAUUAAAAAAUAUAUUAAAAAUGAGCAAUACCAACGGAAAUCCUCCACGCAAAAAUUAUACUGAGAGAGAGAGAGAAAUGUUUGCUGUUGGAAAUAAUUGGAAAAUACAAGCAUAUUAAAUUGAAAACAAAUAAUGUACCAAUGCUAUGUCCACCAACCAAAACAAUGAAACCUGGGAAAAAAUAGCGCUGAAUUUCCCAGAACUCCCAAGCAGCUGAACACUGCAUAUAUAAACUUAAAAAGGGUCACUAGCCAAAAAGUAGCAGAGGAAAAUAUUCAAAAAUAUAAUGAGCAGAAGGUUUUGGACCAGUUGAAGAGAGACCAAACUGCGGACAAAAAAGACAUACUUGCAACAGGUGGUGGCACAUUUAGGCCUCGUCUCACAGAUGUAGGGGCACAAAUGUUGAGUUUGAUUGGCAAUCAAAUCCAACCUUUACCCAACAGUUGUGACAGUGCAUCUGGUUUCUUCACAUCUGUUGCACAAGACAGUCAAGUGGAAGUAGAUUACCUACAAUUGGAAGACACAUAGCAGACGUCCAAUGUACCCUCUACUUCCACUGUGCUGCUCAGUACACCCACGACAACUGCUGUCCUGCCCAAGAAGACAGCCAAGAUGUCUCAGGCUCGUUCAAAAAAUAAAAAAGUAAAAGAUGUAGGGAGCGAAACCCUUAAUGUAUCUUUUACAAAAAAAAUUGAAACAGCAAGACUAGAAAAAAGAAGUAAGAUAGUAUUUUUCAACAAGAAAAAAAGAAAUUUUAGAAGUAGAGCUUCAAAUAAAAAAAUUCGAUCUCAAUAAAUUAUUCUGUAAUAGUGGUUAGGUAUGUACCUAAUAAAGUAAUUUUAAAUAAAAAUUGUAAUUUCUUUAAAUAAUAAAAUUAAUAAAAAAUGUGUUUUUCAAAGUUUA